rnacentral:lncRNA from 1 species
CAAACUUGAACUAUUGUUUGUCCUCAAACAAGAUAGUGACUUAAUUCUGAACAAACAUGGCUUAACACCUUGCCUUGGCUCAGGAUUGGACUAAGUAAUUGAUUUUAUGAAAAUUUAUCAGUGUAAAAUGACAUCAAGCUUUACCUGUUAAAUGCAUACUUGACGUGUGUGUGUGGAUUCAAGCUAACAUAUCAAGUUCAUGAUGAGUUUGAGUCCCGACCCCAAGUGGUCAAAU